UGCCAGCCGCCGCGGUAAUACGGAGGGUGCAAGCGUUAUUCGGAAUUAUUGGGCGUAAAGGGCGCGUAGGCGGUCUUGUCAGUCAGGUGUGAAAGCCCGGGGCUCAACCCCGGACGUGCAUUUGAAACAGCAAGACUUGAGUACGGGAGAGGAAAGUGGAAUUCCGAGUGUAGGGGUGAAAACCGUAGAUAUUCGGAGGAACACCAGUGGCGAAGGCGGCUUUCUGGACCGAUACUGACGCUGAGACGCGAAAGCGUGGGGAGCAAACAGGAUUAGAUA
rnacentral:rRNA from 1 species